rnacentral:piRNA from 1 species
UUGUGAGGACUAACGGGAAGGAGCCUGAG